rnacentral:lncRNA from 10 species
GCUUUCUCUUGCUCUGCAGUGGCCACCUAGAAGCCACAUAUUUCAGAGAGUGGAACCGCAAGACGCAAACUGACUUGCCCUAACUCUCCACUUUGGAAGGGAACUACCUGGGAGAGGCCCCAAGAUCCACACCUAACUUUGCAUGGGAGACUAUGUCCUGCAGACCUGAUGCUCAUGUUCCUGGACCGGGGCUUCCUCUUUGGAACAAAGGAAGAUGGCACUGCCCUUCAGGUGGCUCUUUUCUAUGUGGCUAUGACUGGCCAGCCCCUCAUCCACAGGUUGACACCAUGGGAGGGAGACAGCCUAGUGCAGAAGUGACACGCACUGAGCCAGGCUGUCUGGAAUCAAAUCCGGGUUGCCAGCCCUGUGACUUGGGCAAGUUACUUCCCCUCUCCAUGCCUCCAUGUCCUUACCUGGAAAAUAAGGAUAUUUUUACCUACCUCAGUAGAACUGUUGUGAGAAUUAAAUGAGUUAGUCCAUAGAAAAUGCUAAGAUCAGUUCUUGCCCCUAUGGGAAGCAUCAGAAAAAAUAUACAUAUUAGUUAUUUACCAGCAUUUAAGUUACAGUCAUUUAAUAUGCAUCACACUCUUGUUCUUUAAUUAUUUGUUUGCUAGUUUACUGACUGCUUCCCUCACAAGAACACAAGCUUCAUGAAAGCAAGGACACUGUCUUGUUCACUGUAUUAUCCCUUCUGCCCAGAACAAUGUCGGCCACAAAGAGAGCGCUAAGAAAUAAUUUGUUCAAUGAAUGGAUAAAUGAAUGAAGUUGAGGCCUGUUGGCCAGGGAGCCCUCUCUCUUUUUGGGAUGACUUUGCCUAUCUCUGCUCAGCUCUGUUACAUGUUUUAUACUGUAGCCCCCAGAGAGCAUCUCUCACUCUCUUAAGUCCCUUGAGUAGUAGAUAAGAGCAGGUACUGUGGAAUUCCAAUCUACCCUUAUUAAUUCUGUGACUAAUUUAAAUGCAGGUAAAUGAUAACCAAUAUGUAUAUUUUUUCUGAUCCUUCCCAUGGUGCUGAGAACUGUUCUUAGCAUUUUCUGUGGACUAACUCAUUUAAUUUUCACAACAGCUCUACUGAGGUAUGCAAACCACUGGACUUCGUAAGCUUCAGUUUCCUCUUCUGAAAAAUGAACAUAAUAGGACCUACCUUCCAGGGUUCAUUGUGAGGACUAAAGGAGGUAGUCCUCACACAGUCCCUGGCUUGGGAGCACUCAAGAAGCAUUCACUGGGCUGGUUUUGCCCUUCGGGACAGCAGGGCUCCACAUGGUUCUUCCACAUUUAAAGCCUGUCUCCUUUCCUGACUGGGCAGCAUAAACAGGUUUGGGGGCAUCUACUAUCCCCUGACCCCUGUCUUCUGCCCUCCACCCUCUGCCUUCCAUUUCAGACAGUCACCUGCCGUAGGUAGAGUGAUGGUCUGGGGCUUUUGAAGUUGGAGUUUGCAAGGCUGGGCCAUGCCAGGCUACCCCCCGCGAGCUCUCUAGGAGCAGAGGACAGCCAAGUCCUCGGAGGCCGCCCCUGCAGCCCUGCGGCUGUCCACCCGACAGCAGAUCAACCUAUGUGCCUCCCUUUGAUGUGAGUCCUCAAACUGGAGCCUCGUGCCCUGCUCUGAGAACCCGAGCUUUGAAGUUGGCCUAUAAACUGAGCUUUCAGGAAAAAAGUUGUCUGUUGUGCCUCAGAGCACGGCCAGGCCCUGUAAAAGCACACGGAGUGCCAUGAACACCUGAUGAAUAAUUCUUUUUGGGCCCAAGAAAGAUUCAUUCCAUUUAAAGGAGAGGAAAAUUCCCUUGACCUUUUCAUUGAAGUUCUAGGGGUGGGGGUUGGGGGGCACUUAGAGAGGGUUUUUUUGUCUUCUCACUAAAGCCACAUGGAGCAGGCAGUUUGUCUCCAAGAGCUGAGCUCCAGUGACUGCUCCAAAGGGCUUCCUAUCCCUGACUCCCGACCCCAGGUCUGCUCAGCCAACACCCCCUUCACACUCCCUGCCUCCCACCAUGACUGAGGGAGAAGACUGGGUCCUCUCCCAGAAGGAGAGGCCUCUCUCCAGACCAAACCAUGUUGGAAAUGGCAAGGCUUAUGGACUCUACUGCUUUCUUUUCCUUCCAGGGCCUGGCAUGGCGAAGGGGUGAGGCAGACAUGAAUGUGCCUGGAUUUCUCACCUGAAGGAGCCCUGAAAACAGGCUGACAGUUGCCAAGUGCUUAUUCUGCCAGGCCCUCGGCCUUCUUUUGUGCGUGACUAGAUAAUAGGAUGUGUGGGCUGGAGAUAGUAACUCACUUCUACUGCAUAGGAUGUGCCAGAAGGUAAUGGAUGUCACUUUCAAGAUGAGGUUACAAAAAGGCCUCUAUCUUGGGCACUCUCCCUUGCAUCCUCACCUGCUUACUGCGAGGGAAGCCCUGUAGUGAGCUAGUGGAAGGAGGUCUACCCAGCAAGGAACGGACACCUGACCACAACCAGUGAGGACCUGAGACCUGCCACAAUCACCUGAGCGAACUUGCAAGUGAGUUAUCCCCCCAGUCAAGUCUUGGGUGACUGCAGUCCUAGCUCACACCUCCAUUACAGCUUUUUGGGAGACCCUGAGCCAGAGACACUCAGCUAAGCCCCGAUUCCUGACAUGUGGAAAUGGUGAGAUAAUAAAUGUUUGUUGUUUUAGGCCAUCAAGUUUUGAGGUAAUUUGUCACACAGUGGUAGACAAUAUACCCACCAAAACUUUUCAUUAUUUUAAAAUUUUAGCCAUUUUGAUGAGUAUGAAGUAAGCUUAACUAGCAUC